ACAGUGGCAUCCGAGUUAGAACUUAACGGUAUUAGCCCACCGCCCGACAUGGUCGAAGAGG
rnacentral:ncRNA from 1 species